rnacentral:rRNA from 1 species
GACGAACGCUGGCGGCGUGCUUAACACAUGCAAGUCGAACGGAGUGGCGAACGGGUGAGUAACACGUGGGUGAUCUGCCUUGCACUUCGGGAUAAGCUUGGGAAACUGGGUCUAAUACCGGAUAGUGCAAGAUGAGCUCGCGGCCUAUCAGCUUGUUGGUGGGGUAAUGGCCUACCUAGGCGUCGACGGGUAGCCGGCCUGAGAGGGUGUGCGGCCACAUUGGGACUGAGAGACGGACCAGACUCCGACGGGAGGGAGCAGUGGGGAAGAUUGCACAAUGGGCGGAAGACGGAAGCAGCGACGCCGCGUGGGGGAGGAAGGCAUUAGGGUUGUAAACUCCUUUCGACAGGGACGCGGUACCUGUAUAAGAAGCACCGGCUAACUACGGGCCAGCAGCCGCGGUAAUAG